UAUAUGUGGGGCAAGCGUUGUUCGGAAUUACUGGGCAUAAAGGGCGCGUAGGCGGUUUGUCAAGUCAGGCGUGAAAGCCCCGGGCUUAACCUGGGAGGUGCGUUUGAUACUGGCAAGCUAGAGAGUGAGAGAGGAAAGCAGAAUUCCUAGUGUAGAGGUGAAAUUCGUAGAUAUUAGGAAGAAUACCAGAGGCGAAGGCGGCUUUCUGGCUCACUGCUGACGCUGAGGCGCGAAAGCGUGGGGAGCAAACAGG
rnacentral:rRNA from 1 species